CCUGACCCGACAGCUACCUUUGGGCAAAACUUGAAAACUGAUAGGAUUGCUGGAAAAGAUCCCUGCUUGACCCACAGCAGCUGCCUGAAGUUUUCAGUGUCGAUGCAAUGGAUGGACUCUUGCUCUGUCACCAAGCUGGAGUGCAGUGGUGCAAUCUGGGCUCACUACAACCUCCGCCUCCUGGGUUCAAGUGAUUCUCCUGCCUCAGCC